UGCUGCUUCUUUCCCGCGACGUCUGGAUGAUCCUUUUAAAAUGCACCCUGCUCUCUCAGACCAGGCCCAGGUCAGCUACAUUGUGGCGAAACGCGCUGGUUAGCAGUGUAAUGAGCUCCUUACAGUCUGGCACAGAUGCCAGAUUCAAACUAGACAGGCCCAGAGCAUUCAAAACAACUGACAUAGAUCAUAGACAUUAUAGAACUACAGAAGAGGAUUUCAGAAAAUCAUGCUGUGUGGAUCAAGUACCCUAAAUAUACACAGUAC